AGUUAAAAAUUUUAUCUAUUUCUACAGUUAAAAAAUAAUAUGAUUGACGAAAUAACCAAACAGUUACAUAUGGCGUGCCAUGUGUACUUCAUAUCGAUAUACAUGAACUAAUUUUUAACAUUAGAAAUAGAUAAAAUCUUUAAUA
rnacentral:pre_miRNA from 1 species